UGGGGAAUUUUGGACAAUGGGCGAAAGCCUGAUCCAGCAAUGCCGCGUGUGUGAAGAAGGCCUUCGGGUUGUAAAGCACUUUUGUCCGGAAAGAAAUCCUUGGCUCUAAUACAGUCGGGGGAUGACGGUACCGGAAGAAUAAGCACCGGCUAACUACGUGCCAGCAGCCGCGGUAAUACGUAGGGUGCAAGCGUUAAUCGGAAUUACUGGGCGUAAAGCGUGCGCAGGCGGUUUGCUAAGACCGAUGUGAAAUCCCCGGGCUCAACCUGGGAACUGCAUUGGUGACUGGCAGGCUAGAGUAUGGCAGAGGGGGGUAGAAUUCCACGUGUAGCAGUGAAAUGCGUAGAGAUGUGGAGGAAUACCGAUGGCGAAGGCAGCCCCCUGGGCCAAUACUGACGCUCAUGCACGAAAGCGUGGGGAGCAAACAGGAUUAGAUACCCUGGUAGUCCAGCGCCCUAAACGAUGUCAACUAGUUGUUGGGGAUUCAUUUCCUUAGUAACGUAGCUAACGCGUGAAGUUGACCGCCUGGGGAGUACGGUCGCAAGAUU
rnacentral:rRNA from 1 species